UGUAAAAAGUGAUUCUGAGUUUUAGUCAGGUGGACAAGUAAAAUCAUGUCCUGUCAACUUGCAGUGUCUCACUACGCAGAAGGAUGAGUUAUAACAACCUCAACUUGAAGGGAAAUUGAAAACUUAAAAUAAGGUGUUCAUAUAACAACAAAACAUAGGUUCUUUCAAUUUUUUUGCCUCAUGCGCAUGUGCCAGAAUCUCUACGUCAUAAUGACGUACUACUUUAACGAAUUUGAACAAGAGGCGCCAUCGCCAUUUUCUGCACGAGAGGACGAGAUCACUACAGGAGUUGCUGAUGGGAGAACAAAGACGACGAAGGAGCUCUUAUUUGAACGACUACAGAUGGAUUUUUAUAGUAAGUAUACCCCGAUUUGUUCUUUCUUUCAUGUAAAAAAAUAGGCUUGUUUCGUUUGCGUAUUAAUUUAAGACAACUUGAUUGGUAAGUUAACGUUAAUCAGGAGCCACACACACAGUGUUAGACACCGAGCUGUUGUCGAGACGUGAGCAGAAAGAGAAGUCGUCUUUAACUAGUGUAAGUUAAUGUUGGUAAAUAGAUAAAAACGUGUACAGUUACUUUUUAGCAUGUUAAUUGGUGUAAAAUGGCCCAAAAUAGCUUUUUCGCAUGGUUUAAAGUUUUCAGGCACCGUGCCGGAUCUCCGGCGUGCGGCGUUGGCUGCGAAUUAAAAAAAUAUAUAUAACGUUGAUAUAUUAAUAUCAUUUCGCGUUCAUGCGUUCACCCACAAAUAGGAUGAGAGGAACACAUAUUUUACUCUCAACCAAACUAAACUAGCCAAUCAGAAGUAGAAUGGGGCGGGUCUUUAAAGUGUGGUUGAGAGAUCCAGCUGCAGGUACCGUGCGGAGACCGGAGAUGUCACGUAGCAAGGAAUCCGCAGGAUGGAAAACAACAAACCAAAGGAUGAGGACUGCAGCAUUGCUUGGGCUGCCGUGAUACAUGCGAGAGACUCCUUCUAAAUUCAUGAAGAUAUGCGAGCCCAGUGACCGUGAUCAAGGGCGUGGUGAUCAAGGGCGUGGUGAUCAAGGGCGUGGUGAUCGGAGUCCUAGUGGUUGUGGAAAAUGUGAUGGAGCCUCUCCCAGAAUUCUACAAUGACGUUGCCCUGGUGAUUGAGGAAGAAGUGGUGAUGCGUCACCUGAGUGACAUACCUAAUGCUUUUCUGAACCUGAUGGGCCUGGUGUACGCAUUAAACAUUGACUUUCCAAAGGAAUUAAAAUUCACUUUUGAAGUGAUACAACGCCUGUUCAUUGGAGUGGGAUCACACUCUUGCACCGCAAGAGUUCACUCUUUGAAGAGCAAGUUGCUGAGAUAAGAAACUCUUUUCUUCUCCUUGCUACUAUAAGCACUUACACUGUUACACUGUUUUAAAGUUUAAGACCAUUGUUAUUUUAGAUAUUAUUGUUUUCAAGGGAUACUCCAUCGUUUUGUCAUAUUAAACUGUUAUUACCUUAAAGCAAUAGUUCACUUUGAAAUUAAGUUUUGAUAUGUUUUAGCUUACCUCAAGGGCAUCCAAGAUGUAGGUGUCUUUGUUUCCGUGGUAGUUUCACUUUUGAUGUUUUUAGGUCAAACCGUUCUUGUCUGUCAGUCAUAUAAUGCAGGUCUAUGAGGUAAACAUGACCUCAAGGAGCAUUCACAGAGAAGUCCAAAUUAAGCAACUGUCCAUCGUAAGUACACAUUGAUGGCCUUAGACACGAAACGAGCGGUUUGUGUGAGAAAACGAACACUAUUUAUAUUGUUUUUGCCCCUUGUACACAACCACAUCUGUGCUUAGUCUGCGCAUGCGCCGGAAGUGAUCUCUCGCACGUGUACGUCACUCAUUGUUUACACAGAACAGAGAUUGUAGGUAAGACAGUAAAUAGAAAUUGUACUGAUUUGCGCUUAUCCGGGAUGUUUAAACCGACGUGAAAGAAAACAAUUACGUAUGCUCGCGCAAACUCAUCCAGGAGAUCUCUUCCGGCGCAUGUGCAGACUAAGCACAGAUGUGGUUGUGUACAAGGGGCAAAAACAAUAUAAAUAGUGUUCGUUUUCUCACACAAACCGCUCGUUUCGUGUCUUAGGCCAUCAAUGUGUACUUAUGAUGGACAGUUGUUUAAUUUGGACUUCUCUGUGCAUGCUCUUUGAAGUAACGUUUAGUAAGUGACCAUAGACCUGCAUUAUAUGACUGACAGACAACAACGGUUUGACCUAAAAAUAUCAAAAGUGAAAGUACCGCGGAAACCAAGACACCUACAUCUUGGA